UACGAAGGGGGCUAGCGUUGCUCGGAAUUACUGGGCGUAAAGGGCGCGUAGGCGGGUCGUUUAGUUAGAGGUGAAAGCCCAGGGCUCAACCCUGGAAUUGCCUUUAAUACUGGCGGCCUUGAGUAUGGCAGAGGUGUGUGGAACUCCGAGUGUAGAGGUGAAAUUCGUAGAUAUUCGGAAGAACACCGGUGGCGAAGGCGGCCCCCUGGACCGGUACUGACGCUGAGGCGCGAAAGCGUGGGUAGCAAACGGG
rnacentral:rRNA from 1 species